rnacentral:rRNA from 1 species
CAGUAGCCGCGGGAACACGUAGGGUGCAAGCGUUAAUCGGAAUUACUGGGCGUAAAGCGUGCGCAGGCGGUUCUAUAAGACAGAUGUGAAAUCCCCGGGCUCAACCUGGGAACUGCAUUUGUGACUGUAGAGCUGGAGUGCGGCAGAGGGGGAUGGAAUUCCGCGUGUAGCAGUGAAAUGCGUAGAUAUGCGGAGGAACACCGAUGGCGAAGGCAAUCCCCUGGGCCAAUACUGACGCUCAUGCACGAAAGCGUGGGGAGCAAACAGGACUAGAUACCCCUGUAGUCCCUGUCUCUUAUAA